GAUGAACGCUGGCGGCGUGCCUAAUACAUGCAAGUCGAGCGAAUGGAUUAAGAGCUUGUUCUUAUGAAGUUAGCGGCGGACGGGUGAGUAACACGAGGGUAACCUGCCCAUAAGACUGGGAUAACGCCGGGAAACCGGGGCUAAUACCGGAUAACAUUUUGAACCGCAUGGGUCGAAAUUGAAAGGCGGCUUCGGCUGUCACUUAUGGAUGGACCCGCGUCGCAUUAGCUAGUUGGUGAGGUAACGGCUCACCAAGGCAACGAUGCGUAGCCGACCUGAGAGGGUGAUCGGCCACACUGGGACUGAGACACGGCCCAGACUCCUACGGGAGGCAGCAGUAGGGAAUCUUCCGCAAUGGACGAAAGUCUGACGGAGCAACGCCGCGUGAGUGAUGAAGGCUUUCGGGUCGUAAAACUCUGUUGUUAGGGAAGAACAAGUGCUAGUUGAAUAAGCUGGCACCUUGACGGUACCUAACCAGAAAGCCACGGCUAACUACGUGCCAGCCGCCGCCGUAA
rnacentral:rRNA from 1 species